GACGAACGCUGGCGGCGUGCCUAAUACAUGCAAGUAGAACGCUGAAGGAGGAGCUUGCUUCUCCGGAUGAGUUGCGAACGGGUGAGUAACGCGUAGGUAACCUGCCUGGUAGCGGGGGAUAACUAUUGGAAACGAUAGCUAAUACCGCAUAACAGUAGAUGUUGCAUGACAUUUGCUUAAAAGGUGCAAUUGCAUCACUACCAGAUGGACCUGCGUUGUAUUAGCUAGUUGGUGAGGUAACGGCUCACCAAGGCGACGAUACAUAGCCGACCUGAGAGGGUGAUCGGCCACACUGGGACUGAGACACGGCCCAGACUCCUACGGGAGGCAGCAGUAGGGAAUCUUCGGCAAUGGACGGAAGUCUGACCGAGCAACGCCGCGUGAGUGAAGAAGGUUUUCGGAUCGUAAAGCUCUGUUGUAAGAGAAGAACGAGUGUGAGAGUGGAAAGUUCACACUGUGAUGGUAUCUUACCAGAAAGGGACGGCUAACUACGUG
rnacentral:rRNA from 1 species